UUCACGAUAGUGUAAUGGCUAACAUCGCUGUUUUUCACACAGCAGCUCGGGGUUCGAUUCCUGGCAGUCGUGGAA